CCUACGGGUGGCAGCAGUGGGGAAUAUUGGACAAUGGGGGCAACCCUGAUCCAGCCAUGCCGCGUGUGUGAAGAAGGCCCUCGGGUUGUAAAGCACUGUCAGUGAGGAAGAACGCCUGGUGGUUAAUACCCAUCAGGAAAGACAUCACUCACAGAAGAAGCACCGGCUAACUCCGUGCCAGCAGCCGCGGUAAUACGGAGGGUGCGAGCGUUAAUCGGAAUUACUGGGCGUAAAGCGCGCGUAGGUGGCUUGAUAAGCCGGUUGUGAAAGCCCCGGGCUCAACCUGGGAACGGCAUCCGGAACUGUCAAGCUAGAGUGCAGGAGAGGAAGGUAGAAUUCCCGGUGUAGCGGUGAAAUGCGUAGAGAUCGGGAGGAAUACCAGUGGCGAAGGCGGCCUUCUGGACUGACACUGACACUGAGGUGCGAAAGCGUGGGUAGCAAACAGGAUUAGAUACCCCUGUAGUC
rnacentral:rRNA from 1 species